rnacentral:pre_miRNA from 1 species
CUCACAGAGGUUAUUUGGCAUUCUGUCCACCUCCAAGUACUGAUCCCUCUCUUAUACAUCCCCAAGGAGAACAACAACUCGAUGGAGGUGGGCAUCCUGCCAACUGACCUAUGUUGG